GGCCUCGUAGCUUAGCUGGUAGAGCAUGCGCGUACAAAGCGUAGGCGGCGUCCAUGCAUGGGUUCGAACCCCACCGAGGCUA
rnacentral:tRNA from 1 species